rnacentral:sRNA from 1 species
AGGUUUCGGGGCUGGCUGGUUCGGAGGCUCUGCUAUUUCCUGUGGUCCCUGGAGCAGCACAUCCCCCCCUGCCAGGAUGUCCCACAGAAGAUCAUGGAAAGCACCGGGGUGCAGAACCUCCUCUCAGGGAGGGUCCCAGGAGGCACUGGGGAAGGCCAGGUGCCUGACCUUGUGAAGAAGGAGGUACAGCGCAUCCUGGGUCACAUCCAGGCCCCACCCCGUCCCUUCCUGGUCAGGCUGUUCAGCUGGGCGCUGCUGAGGUUCCUGAACUGCCUGUUCCUGAAUGUGCAGCUCCACAAGGGUCAGAUGAAGAUGGUCCAGAAGGCCGCCCAGGCAGUAAGGCCCGCCCUCCAUUGGGUUGGGGAUGGUGGGAGCAGAAGAGCAGAGGCUGGGCCAAGCCCUUAAGUCAGGAGCAGUCCCCAUCUGGUCCUGCUUCCUGGCCUCUCUGCUCCCAGCCAUACAGCAGUCCAGUCCCCAUCAGCUGGUGGGAAAAAUCCCCUGCUCUUUGCCGACCUUCCCUUAUGUCUCACGGCCCUGCUCCCAUGGGGCUUCCUCUAACGUCUUUCCAUCAUGGUCUUAACAACCAUUACGUCAGUGCGUCGGUGCAGUUACCUUAAGAGUUGUCUAAAGGCUCCUUUGCUUUUGGGAAAUGUGCUCAGAGGAAGAACUCUGCGGCUGAACUGUCCCUCCCUCUGGGGCUGCCCUGGGUCUUUGGCUGCCUGUGUCCUCAGGGUGGGGCAGGUUGGCACUUCCCUCUGGCUCUCCCUGGAGCAGGGCUUGCCGCUUGUCCUCCUCUCUACUCACAAAACCCUCCUGGAUGGGAUCCUGCUGCCCUUUAUGCUGCUCUCCCAGGGCCUGGGUGUGCUCCGUGUGGCCUGGGACUCCCGCACCUGCUCCCCUGCCCUCAGAGCUCUGCUGAGGAAGCUUGGGGGGCUUUUCCUGCCCCCAGAGGCCAGCCUCUCCCUGGACAGCUCUGAGGGGCUCCUUGCAAGGGCUGUGGUCCAGGCGGUGAGUGCCCCCAGUGGUUACAUAUGGGCCAGGCUAAGGGGACAGGGGUCUGUUUCUGCUCUGGCCUUAACACCCCCUCUGACCCCUCCUAUUCCAGGUCAUAGAGCAGCUGCUGGUUAGUGGGCAGCCCCUGCUCAUCUUCCUGGAGGAACCUCCUGGGGCUCUGGGGCCACGGCUGUCAGCCCUGGGCCAGGCUUGGGUGGGGUUUGUGGUGCAGGCAGUCCAGGUGGGCAUCGUCCCAGAUGCUCUGCUGGUACCAGUGGCCGUCACCUAUGACCUGGUUCCGGAUGCACCGUGUGACAUAGACCAUGUGAGAAUGUGAGACCCUCCAGCCCCUUGGGCCCCUAGGUGGACACCAGCUCCCGACAGGAGGCACAAUAUUGUGUCCUGUGGCUGAGCCCCACUUAGGGCUGUGGGGGGCACAAAGGAAUCGUCCUUACAAUCAUCUGGCAGCACCUGCCAAGGCCAUUACCAUCAUCUCAUUUCAUCCUGUGAAGACCUUGAUAGGGAGGGAUUUUUCCUGUGUCAUGGAUAAGAAAAGAGGAGCUUGGGACAAGGUCACACACCAGUUUGGGCCUGAGAUAAAACUGAGCAGGGUGGGACCAGAGGAUACCUCUGAAGACCAGGAUGGGUGGGCAGCCCUGAUGUCCGCCCGAGAGCAGUGUCCUUGGUGAGUAUAGUUAUCCUCUCCCUCCUUGCAGGCCUCGGCCCCCCUGGGGCUGUGGACAGGAGCUCUGGCUGUCCUACGUAGCUUGUGGAGCUGCUGGGGCUGCAGCCACCGGAUCUGCUCCCGGGUGCACCUAGCUCAGCCCUUUUCCCUGCAGGAAUACAUCGUCAGUGCCAGAAGCUGCUGGGGCGGCAGACAGACCCUGGAGCAGCUACUGCAGCCCAUCGUGCUGGGCCAAUGUACUGCUGUCCCAGACACUGAGAAGGAGCAGGAGUGGACCCCCAUAACUGGGCCUCUCCUGGCCCUCAAGGAAGAGGACCAGCUUCUGGUCAGGAGACUGAGCUGUCAUGUCCUGAGUGGUGAGGGUGAACCAGAUCUGGGCCUUUGCGGGUGGGUCACUGAACCGUCCCCUCUCGGGGUCAGCCAGUCACCAGGGUUCUCCAUUCCAAGUGAGUGUCUGCACCUGAGGCGCUCUGUGGUACCUUGGGGACAUCUGAAGAAGAAUGGAACCCUUCUCCUACAGGAGGAGCAGGCAGCCAGGGCCAUCAUGAGGGAGCAGCUAAGUGCAUGCACAAAGAUGGUGGCCUGAGGCCAGGAGGCUGCAGCUGCUUCCCCAAGGCCACACCCAGCCCUGCCUUCUGAGCGGAGUCUCCUUAGCUUUGGGUGGGGAUGGUGUUAACUGAAUGGAAUGAUACGUGUAAGGGGCUUAGCACAGCGCCUCCGCAGAGGGCCCUUAUAGGGAGAUCCAUCUGUAUCUUCUUCAGUGCCCCUCUAGUAGAGGCUGUGGGUUGAUGUGUGGGCCCUACGAUGAGAUCCAGGGGAAGGCCCCCAGCUCCUGGCCUGCUCUCAGCCUGUGUGAUGAUAAACACCACUGCUCCGGGUGUACGUUCUUCAUCCCUGGGGUGGAGUUGGGAUGUGUGACUACGAAGACUUGCCAGAUCAUGGAGGGACCAGGCUGCUGGGCCUCAACCUGACCAGCAUCUCCACCCCCCGCCCCACUCCAGCCAGUGUAGGGAGCUCUGCGGUGAUGAGCACGGCCAUCAUGGCAACGCUGCUGCUCUUCAAGCAUCAGAAG